rnacentral:rRNA from 1 species
AUGGCCUCCGCCGGCGAGCACACGGUGCCCCUGCUCGACCGCCCACCCCCCGAGGCAGCGGAGGCAUACACCACCGACGGGUCUCUUGAUUUCGACGGGAACCCGGCGCUGAAGAAUCGGACGGGUGGAUGGCGCGCAUGCCGCGCAGUCCUCGGUGCCGACUUCUGCUACUGCCUGGCCUUCCACGGCAUCUCCUACAACCUCGUCACCUACCUCACGGCCGUCCUGGGCCAGAGCAACGUCGUCGCCGCGAGGAGCGUCUCCAGCUGGAAGGGCACCUGCUACCUUACUCCCCUCGCCGGCGCCGUCGUCGCCGACUCCUACUGGGGAAGGUACCGCACCAUGGUCGUCUCCUGCUCCGUCGGUGUCGCAGGCAUGCUCAUGGCAGCACUUUCAGCGUACCUACCGCUGCUCGUCAAGAACGGCUCCUCGUUCACAGGCCUCACCUCGUCCAACAUCGUGUCGGCUCAGGAGUUCAUCUUGUUUCUGGGCCUCUACAUGGUUGCCUUUGGGUUGGGCGGCCUCAGGCCGUGCCUGAUGUCCUUCGGCGCCGAUCAGUUCGACGACGGCGAUCCAUCGGAGCGCGUGACGAAGGGCUCCUUCUUCAACUGGUACGUCUUCAACAUGUACUGCGCAUCGCUGGUAUCCAGCACCGGCAUCGUGUGGGUGCAGGAUCAUUACGGCUGGGCGCUGGGGCUGACCAUCCCGGCGGCCGUUCUCGCCGUCGGGCUUUCUUGCCUGGUCGUGGGAUCGCGGGCGUGCAGGUUUCACCGACCCUGCGGCAGCGCACUCAGCAGAGUGUGCCAGGCCGUCGUCGCUGCCGUGAGAAAUUUUGGCGUCGAGCCGCCGUCCGACAGCUCUCUUCUCUACGACCCGCGGGAAGAAGACCUCGCAGUUCAGAGGAUCAAACACACCCCUGAUCUCCGGUUCUUUGACAAGGCCGCCGUUGUCGUGCCUUCGGGCAAGGAGGUGGAGACGGCAGCCGCGUCGACACCGCACAGCCCGUGGAGACUCUGCAUCGUGACGCAGGUCGAGGAGACCAAGAUUCUCGUGCGGAUGCUUCCGCUCUGGGCGACCGUCGUGUUCUUCUAUGCCGUGUUAGCGCAGGUCUCGUCGACGUUCGUCGAGCAAGGCAUGGCGAUGGACGCCGCCGUCGGCUCCGUGCGCGUCCCGCCCGCGUCCAUGUCCACCUUCGAAGUGUUCGCCAUCAUCACCUUAGUUCCGCUCUACGACCGGGCAUUCGUUCCUGCGGCCAGGAGGCUCACCGGGAGGGAGAAGGGCAUCUCGGGGCUUCAGAGGAUCGGCGCCGGCCUCGCCAUGCCCGUGCUCGCCAUGGCCGCGGCGGCGCUUCUCGAGACGGCACGCCUCCGCGGGGCAAAGGCGUCGCCGCUGGCGCCGAAUUCGACCAGCGUGCUGUGGCAGGCGCCCCAGUACGUGCUGAUGGGCAUGGGCCAGGUGCUCACUACCAUCGGGCAGCUCGACUUCUUCUACAGCCAGGCGCCGACCGCGAUGAAGACCGUGUGCACGGCGCUCGGGUUCCUCGCGAUAGCGGUCGGCGAUUAUCUGAGCUCAUUCCUACUGACCGUCGUUGAGUGGGCGACGUCGACGGGCGGCACGCCGGGGUGGAUCCCCGACGACCUGAACGAGGGUCACCUGGAUCGCUUCUUCUGGAUGAUGGCCGUACUGGGCUGCGUGAAUCUGAUGGCUUUUGUGUCCUGCAUCGCCAGGAGGUGA